rnacentral:tRNA from 1 species
GUCCCUGUAGCGUAGUGGAUAGCGCAUCGGACUUCUAAUCUGUGAAGACCCCGGGUUCGAAUCCCGGCAAUGAUA